rnacentral:rRNA from 1 species
GUGGGGAAUAUUGGACAAUGGGCGAAAGCCUGAUCCAGCCAUGCCGCGUGUGUGAAGAAGGUCUUCGGAUUGUAAAGCACUUUAAGUUGGGAGGAAGGGCAGUAAGUUAAUACCUUGCUGUUUUGACGUUACCGACAGAAUAAGCACCGGCUAACUUCGUGCCAGCAGCCGCGGUAAUACGAAGGGUGCAAGCGUUAAUCGGAAUUACUGGGCGUAAAGCGCGCGUAGGUGGUUUUGUAAGUUGGAGGUAAAAUCCCCGGGCUCAACCUGGGAACUGCCUCCAAAACUGCAUGACUAGAGUACGGUAGAGGGUAGUGGAAUUUCCUGUGUAGCGGUGAAAUGCGUAGAUAUAGGAAGGAACACCAGUGGCGAAGGCGACUACCUGGACUGAUACUGACACUGAGGUGCGAAAGCGUGGGGAGCAAACAGGAUUAGAAACCCCGGUAGUCC